rnacentral:tRNA from 1 species
UGCCGGAUAGCCUAAUGGUAGGGCACCUGACUCUGGAUCAGGGUAGUCUAGGUUCGAGUCCUAGUCCGGCAACCA